AAGAAAUUAGUUAAUAAAUAAUAAAGGCUUGUCAAGUCUUAGUAGCUAAAGUAGCAUUUCUUU
rnacentral:tRNA from 1 species